AACGAACGCUGGCGGCAGGCCUAACACAUGCAAGUCGAACGAGACCUUCGUGACUGGUGGCGCACACGUGCGUAACGCGGCGGAAGGUGCCGUUAUGCUCGGGAUAACACCCUUACGGGGGGGCUAAUGUCGGAAAAUGUCCGCUGAUCCCAGAUAUAUCGCCCUGGUAUGGGCCGGCGUUGGACGAGCUUGUUGGGAGGGUAAAAGCCUACGAAGGCGACGAUACAUAGCGGGGCUGAGAGGCACAGCCGCCACACUGGGGCUGGGACACGGCCCGGACUCCUGCGGGAGGCGGCAGAGGGGAAUAUUGGAAAAUGGCCGGAAGGCUGAAGCAGCUAUGCUGGGAGAGUGAUGAUGGUGUUAGAGUUGUGAAGCACUUUUACCCGGGAUUAUAAUGACGGUACCGAGAGAAUAAGCACCGGCUAACUUCGUG
rnacentral:rRNA from 1 species